CCUGUUCCAAUAUUUCAUAAAACAGUUUUGAUUAGGAAAUGAUAGGUGAGAGUUAUGUGGGUCUUCCAAUCCAAAGAAAUUUUGGAUACAUAAAUAAAAUCAGAAUUGUAAGAAUAGGUUAAAUGUGUAUGAUGGUUUAUAUAGGGUAAAGGGAAACCAUUUUGAGAUUGAAAAAUCUCGUUUUGUACAAAUUUUCAGUUGUAAUGUUUUUUUAUAGCCGUCAAAUUGUACUGAGUUCACCAGUAACCUCCCUCAAGUUAAAGAGAAAAAGAGUUGUACUUAGCUUAAGAUAAUUCAGUUAUAUCAUUGACCAAUAAAGAAGUUAUGCCAAUAUCAAGAGGAGCAAUAAAGAAGAAGACCAGUCACAGUCACAAUUAGAAACUUAUUUUGUAUUUGAUCUUUUUAUUUUUAUGUAAAUUUAUCAUUAUAUAAAAUGUAAUAUUUGAUUAAAUGAAAUGAAAUUAGUUGAUGUAUA